rnacentral:rRNA from 1 species
UCGGGAAUUUUGGGCAAUGGGCGAAAGCCUGACCCAGCAACGCCUCGUGAGGGAUGAAGUAUUUCGGUAUGUAAACCUCGAAAGAAUGGGAAGAAUAAAUGACGGUACCAUUUAUAAGCUCCGGCUAACUACGUGCCAGCAGCCGCGGUAAUACGUAGGGAGCAAGCGUUGUUCGGAUUUACUGGGCGUAAAGGGCGCGUAGGCGGCGCGGUAAGUCACUUGUGAAAUCUCUGAGCUUAACUCAGAACGGCCAAGUGAUACUGCUGUGCUAGAGUGCGGAAGAGGCAACCGGAAUUCUUGGUGUAGCGGUGAAAUGCGUAGAUAUCAAGAGGAACACCUGAGGCGAAGGCGGGUUGCUGGGCCGACACUGACGCUGAUGCGCGAAAGCCAGGGGAGCAAACG